UAAUUGGACCUGAUAUCAGGUAGGAGUAGCCGCGAACUC
rnacentral:rRNA from 1 species